AAUUAGUAACACAUUUGAAUAUCACUGCCUUAUAUAUAUACCAUAUCUCCGGAUCGGCCCACUAGAACUCAUAGUGGGUUUGGAGGAUCCAUGCUAGUCUGUAGCUCCCUACAUUAUUCCCCCAGGCUUGGGUCAGGCUUUAAGGUUCAGAGAAUGAUCCAUGGAUUUCUGCUGAUACCAGCAGAAUGCAGGGGGGAUUUAGCUCAAAGUCUCAUUCCCACCAAUGUUAAAUAGAGCCUUAAAGAGAAAAGGCUCUUAGAAUCACAAUGGUUUAUGACAGUCUACUGAAUUACAAACCAAACUUGCCUUCCAUUAGAACUUACAUUUAGUCUGUCCUGGAUCUGGUCUAUAACUGUGAAAGGAUUAUCAAUCCUUCUAGCCCUUCUCCAAAAAACAUGAAUAAAGUCAAUCUUAUCCUUCAGUGACACACAUGCCAGUGUGACCAAUAACUUUUAUCCUAAAUCACAAAAAUUUGACCUAAGAAAUGUCCAAUGAAGCAAAAGUACAAUGAAGUACUUUGAGACAGUUUUUAUUAACAAUGAAGAUACUACAUCUUUUGUGUUUGUAAUAGGCAAGUUCUUAAAUAAUACAUGUGUUCUUUACAAUAAGAACUUACUUUUAGGUCAGAAACUUCAACUUUCAAGUAUUCAACAAAAUUUUAAAAAACUAAACACAAUACUUUAACUUGAACAUUACAAAUAUACAUUAAAACCCUAGAACCCUAAAAUAAUGUAUAUUAAAUUUACAUUUUUGUGGGUUUGAAAAAUAUAUAAACUUCAAAAGACAUCAGAAAAAAAAGUAUGUGGAUCCAGGAAAAAGAGCAAAGCAGAGUCAAAAGCAGGGUGCAUUUCAAAUAGGUCACACUCAACUUUUAACUCUAAGAACAACAACAACAAAAAAUAAGCUUAGUAACAGCUGUCAGCCAACCACAAAGCAGACAGAUCAGGACUCAACCACUCCAGAUACCAAUGAGGUCCAACCUUCAAUGUUUUUUUAAAAAAGUUAUAUAGUGUCAGAGCAGAGCACUGUGAUAAGACAGGAUAUACUGUCCUGAGUUAAAAGUAACAAAGAUUUUAAAUCUUUUCACCAAUCCUUAAAAAAAUAGAUUUUAAUAACAGUGAUAAUUUUGUUUUUAUCCUUACUGUGUCAGAUACUGUAUACAUUAAAGUCACCUUUAAAAUAUUAGUGUAAUAAAAUAUAGAAUUUUUUGGGAAAUUUUCUUUCUUGUUUGUAGAUAGAGGAUAAGGGUGGAAAUAUCCAUAAGAAAAAAUUCUUCUCUUUUUAAAUUCCCUAAUACUCAAUUUCCAAAAUUCAUGGGGCGGGGUACAGCCAACAACGAAAUGUUAUUGUCCAAAUCCAAAAAUAUGAGCAUGACAGUCACAUACAAAUAAAUAUAACCUUCAAAGCAAGCAAGGAAACUGAACAGACCCCAUAGUGCUAUUCUAUGCAAUGUUUCCUCUUUAUUACUCAAUACAUAUUCUCCUGAGAAGAAAAUUUUCUGAGGAUUUAGAAGAGAUUUUCAAAGACUUACAUACUUCAUCACUGUAAUGUUUAGUGCUAACCUCCGUUAUUUGUUCAAACUGAGAGUGUUACUUGCAAUAGAGACAUAAACAUUGUAAAACGAUACUUGAUAGUUUUCUUCAUUUUGCUUUUGGCUUGCUAAAUCUAUAUUCUAAAGCAGUUACCAAUAUUUUCUGUAAAAACCUUCAAGAACCACCUUUUGUUUUUUCUUCAAGUGCUGCUUAAACCAUUUGUUGGUUUUAGUUCCCUAAAAAAUAAUUAUUUUAAGUAGAUCAGCUUGACUUGUCAUAUCAAUUGUUUCCUGUACUGUAAGACAUAGGAGGUUUGCUACUAAUACUGUAAGAUGCUGUCCAAAAUGUAUGUAUGUAUACUUCCCCUCAACAGUUCAUUGUAUUCUAUAUACCUAAGGAAGGUGUGUGGGGGGGAUUAAAUAAUAUUUGAAGACUAGUUCUGGGUUUAUUGGCGAUACCCUCACUUCAUUCUGUUCCUCUAUCCUCAAUUGUCACAGAUAACAAAGCUAUGUUGAAUCAAGAAAAAGGUAGUUUCAUGGGUGGGGGAUGGACUAAAUGGGUAAUAGGUAUUAAGGAGGACACUUGUUAUGAUGAGCACUGAGUGUUAUAUGUAAAUGAUAAAUCACUAAAUUGUACUUCUGAAACCAAUAUUAUAUUCUAUGUUAACUAGAAUUUACAUAAAAAUUUGGAAGAAAAAAAUAAAGAUGCCUUCUGCAAAAAAAAAGAAGAAAGAAAGAAAAAGGUAGUUUCAAUACAUUAUUUGGGAAAGACACACUUUUACAUCAAGCUCAUAUUUUCCUUGAACUCUUAAAUCUUAGUAUUUUUAAACAGUACCCACCCAAAUGUUACUGAAAGUUUCAUCAAUUACUUAACACUCAUAUUUCUAUACACCAGGGAUUGGUUGUGUAUCUUUUGGUUAAAUUCAUGAACCUCUAUAUGUAUGAAUAUAUUGGACCAGUUUAUUCAACAUUCAUUCAACCAAUAUUAAUUAAGCAUUAUUAAACAAGUAUUUUUCCCCCCUCGGUUGGUCUUUGAGAACAAUAUCCACAUCUUCCUUUUUCUUCCCUCUUCUUUUUGUAAUUGCUUAUAGUUAGACCCACUACGUCUUUUUGCUUCUAAAGGGGCACCUGGACUGAAGAAUGCCUUAAACUACAAACGCAAAGAGGUCAAAAGGCUUGGAAAGCAGGAUUGUGUAUUAUGGUGAACAUUUGAUAGUUAUUGUAGCAGUUAGGUAAUUGUGUACCAAUUGAUGAGGAGCUUUAAAACCAAUAACUCAGAUUUUUAGUCCCAGAUUUGGUUCUAGAAGCAGAUAUAUGCUAUACUUUGUGGUUUCAGAUUUGAUAAUAUUAACAGAAUAGCUAACACAUAUUGUUAUUAGUAUGUAUCAGGUACUCUUCUAAAGCAUUUUACAUAUGUUUUAACUCAUUUAAUAUUUAAUUCAUUUUAACUUAUUCAACCCUCAUAAUAACCCUUUUGGUAGAUGCUCUUUUCAUUUUUGAAACAGGAAACAGAGAAAGUAUCUAACCCAAGGUCACAUAAUAAGCAAGCAGCUUAAGUAAAGAUUAGAACUCAAGCCUGACUCCAAAGGCAUAUUCUUUCUACUAUACCAUGAUGCUGCCUGAUAAUGGUUUUAGUUUUUUUUUUUCCACUGUUAAUAUUCCAGUGAUUGUGUAUCCAUCAGGAAAGAGGUCAAGGGACCAUAAACUUUUCUCUUAAUCCCUUCCUACCUUACCUGUAAUCUCUUCUCUAUGACUGACUGUUCAUCCCACGCUCUGUGGACUGCCCACACCCAAAAAAACUUUAGAACAUCAUUCUUCUCCAGGAAAUCUGAACUGGCUCCCGACUGAGCCUACUGCCAAAAUAGGAUAUGCUCCAUAGCAUCUCUCAAUAUCCCUUCUCCCUGGCUACUGCCUUUCUUAUAUAUGUAAAUCAGAUCCCAGUUUCCUUUAUUCCAUUUACCUACUUCCAGUCCCCUCUGAACCUUUACAAAAUUUUGUAAAUUUUGUCAUGCUGAAUGAGGAAUAUCUUCUACCACUUGACAGUUUACCACACUAAUACUGUCUCUUAAUCUACAAAAUACCAUGCACUAUGUUUUGAAUAUAGUUUAUAAUUACUACUUGUGGAUGUACUUAUGUUGUGUUCACUGUUUUAAAGUAUAACCUCAGAGUAUUUAUAUGCCCCUUUUGGGCUAUGUUGAGAGUACAUUCUGUUCUAGAUGCAAAGGUCUGGGAAGUGGAAGUAUGUUAAUCAUGCUUUGAAAUUAUAGCUACCAGCACAUGACACAAGUAUUUGAAAACACAUUUUCAUUAUAUUGUAAGAUUUGUACACAUGACACCAAAGAGAAAGCUGUAGGCUUGAGUCUAACUAAAAAAUCAUCAAAAUAGUUAAAUGAGUAAAAUUAUCUUUUAGCAUAAAUUUAACAUUUUAUGUAAAAGGAAAAAAACAAAAACAUAAGUGAAGACAAACUGGCCCAUAAUCAUUAUUAAAGUCACUUUAUUAACUAGAAUUUAAAUAUAAACUUAAAGACUUUUUCAAGUAAAAAAGGAAUAGUCACUUUAAUCAACCUAAAACAUAAGAAAAUACUGCAGUUUUUCUCUUUGGCUAAAUACUGUAUUGCCUACUCAAAAAAAAAAAAUGAAAGAAUUCACAGUGAUUUGUGUGGUAGGAUUAAAUACAAUGCUUGCUUAAGUAUACACACACACACACACACACACACACACACACACACACACACCUUGCGCUGUUUCCUCCCACAUUUAAAAAUUUGGCCAAAAUAGCUGAUGAUUAUAGACUAUUGAUAUGGAAAUACUUCAUUAUAACCAAACUGACUUUUUUGGGGGUCAAUCUCAAGAACAGAAUCUAGAACAAGCAAAAAAAGACAUAAAAUAGAUGCCACAGAGUUUAUACAUUAAAGAGUAUGUACUAUACUCAGAGGAAAACCUUUGGCCCACCUCUCUUAAAGACAAUUAACUUUUACUUUGUGCAAAAUUACAACAAGCUUAUUUAUCUAGUUUCUAAGUCCACAGUAAUUUAGAAGAGAGUAGGGACUACUGUUUAAAUUGAUAGCAGAGGAAGUAUGAUGGUCAACCAUUUAAUCACACGGGAAUAGUCAUAAAAACUCUAAAAAGCAGAAAUAAGAACUUGGACAGCAUGAUAGUAGGAGGCCAUUUACUAUAAAGAUUCUUAGUCCUAAGCCUUAAGGAGCUCUGACAGCAGCACUCUCUGACAGAUUAGGGUAAUAACUAACCUCCAUAAUAGUGAUUCUUACUCAUGUUGAACAAAACACCUACCAAUAUUUCUAUAAAAAAUAUAGUGGCUGAGCUGGCAAAAUAAGAGAAAUCCUUAGAAGUAAAAAAUGACCAACAGGAGGAAUCCAGAGAGGUAACAAUUACUGGGGCUGGUAGUUAUGGAUCCCGUAACCUAGCAAUAGCAUGGGAAGAGAAGACAAAGCUUAGGACUUGGGAAACUGGGGGGUAAACCAGAGACUCGAUUAUAAAGCCAAACCCCAAGAAGUUAUACUAUCAAUGAACAAAUGAACUAGGAAAAAUACCCCAUCUAUAAAAGGAGAUAGAAAAUUUGCCUGUUUCAACUUUUGUUCUUGGUGGGAUGAUAUAUCCCCUGAAAAUUCAUAAACACACAAUGGUUUGCACAUGAGAAGUUGGGGCUUUAACUUACUAUUACCCUUCUGGUCUUAAACAAAAACUAAUGCAAGGAUUCAGUUAAAGGGGGUUGGUUAUGUUCCCAGGCUCCAAUCAGAUAUACAGAUCAUCCCAGGAGAUAAAGUUCUAAUGAAUAGGAGCUUACAGUAAUAAAAUAUACCAUGAAAAAGGCACCAUUAGUAAGGGUCAGAAGAAACAAUAAUCACUUAACUCAGACCUGUAAGACUUGAGGUGUUAGAAUUAUAGAUACAGAAUACCAGUUUUAUAUGUCUUUUAUUAUUUUAAAGGAAGUGGAAAGUAUGGGUGAGGAACAAGAAACCAUCAAAAAAUAAGCAGAUUUAAAAAUGAAUCAAAUACAGAUUUUAUAAUUAUUAAAACUUAAAACUCAAUUGAUAUUCAGCAUAGCUAAAGAGAAAAUUAUUAGCAAACUAGAAAGUAAAUCUGAAGAAAUAAUUCAGAAUGUAGCAUACAAUGCAAAGAGAUCAAAAAUAUAAAAGAAAAAGACAUGGAGAAUGAAAUAGAAGGUGUAAUGUAUACAUAUAAUUACAUAGUAUAUAUGUAGUAAUGAUAUAUUGUAUACAUAUAUUUAGAAGGAGAAAAGCAAUAUUCUAAGAGAUGAUGACUGAGAAUUUUCCAGAACUGAUUAAAGAUACCAAUCCUCAUUUUUUCCAGGAAGCACAAUGAAUCCCAUGCAGAAUAACAGAAACGAAAUUCAUAUCUUGACAUAUAGUAAAACUGAAAAAUUCCAAGAAAAAGGGAAGACCUUAAAAGUUAUCCAAGAGAACAGUCAGAUUAUCUACAAAGGGAUACUAAAUGGACUAUUUUUUUAACAAUGGAAGUCAGAGGACAAUGGAAUAGUAUCUUCAAAGCACCGAGAGAGAAAAUGGCCACUCUUCAAUUGUAUUAAUAUAUGAAACUGUCUAUUGAGAAAGCUAAUGCAAGAAACACAUUUUAAGAGAUAAAAAGUAAGUUUACCACCAAUAAGUCUUCAUUGAGGGAGCUUCCUUUCAGGAAAAAGCAAAAUGAUCCUAGAAGGAAGUGUGUAAAAUACUAUAUAGUCAACAAAGAAAAGGUUCCUUGUACUUGAGAUUUUCAUUUCAUGGGUAAAAUUCUCACCUAUGUAGAAUAAAGAGUACAUCCUCUAAGGAUUCUGAACAGCUUUAUGUGAACAUAUGCUUUCAUUUCUCUUGACUUGGAGAGAAAUGGCUGAUUCCCAUAAUAAAUAUAGGUUUAACUUUUUAAGUAACUGCCAAACCAUUUACUACAGUGGUUGUACCAUUUUCAUAUUACUACCAGCCGUCUGAGAGUUCCAGUGGUUAUACACCUUCACCAACAGUUAGCAUGAUAAAUAUUAUUUUAGGCUAUCUAGUGGUAUAGUGUGGUGGUUCUUACCUGGGGAUGAUUUGGCCCCCUAGGAAACAUUUGACAUCAGGUUACAUUUUUCAUUUUCACAACUGGUGGGUGGGUGGUUUGCUACUGGCAUGUAGCUGGUAGAGGCCAGGGAUGCUACCAAAUAGCCUACAACACAUAGGGCAGCCCCUCACAACAGAGAAUUAUCUGGCCCAAACUUUAAGUGCUGAGGUUAAGAAGCCCUAGUGUAGUAAUAUCUCACUGUGGAUUUAACUUGCCUAUCUUGGGUAACUAUUAAUAGUGAUCACCUUUCAAUGUGCUUAUUAGUCAUUUAUAUAUCUUUUUAAUGAAGUCUCAGUUCAAAUCAUUUGUCCAUUUAAAACAAUUUAUUUUAAUGUUUGUUUAUUUUUGAGAGACAGAGCACAAGUGGGGGAGGUGCAGAGAGAAGGAGACACAGAAUCCGAAGCAGGCUCCAGGCUCUGAGCUGUCAGCACAGAGCCUGAUGUGGGGCUCAAACUCACAGACCGCGAGAUCAUGACCCGAGCUGAAGUCAGAUGCUUAACUGACUGAGCCAUCCAGGCACCCCUCAUUUGUCCAUUUUUAAAAAUUGGGUUGUUGUCUUCUUGUUACAGAGUUGUAAGUAUUCUUUAUACGUUUUGAAUACAAAUUGUUUGAUACAUAUGGUUGUGAAUAUUUUCUUCCAGUCUAUGGCUUGUCAUUUCAUUUUCCUAAUGGUGUCUUUUGAAGAGCAUAGAUUUUAAAGUUUUUAAUUUUGGUGUAAUCCAAUUUAUCAAUUUUUUUUCUUUAAUUUUUUAUACUUGUAUGUUCUAAGAAACCUUUGCCUGCCCCAAGGUCACAAAGAUUUUUUUUUCCUGUUUUCUUCUAGAAGUUAUACCUUUGGAUUAUAUAAAUUUUAUUACAUCUGAAAAUCAAACUGAUAAAGAGUUUCUCUCCAGGAAAUGGGAUUAUGGGACCAGAUCUGACCCUGAAGUCUGCUGGUACACUGUACAUAUGCAUGUUAAAUUAAGUACUCUGAUGAUGUUCUACUACAUAAACACCAUACAGCAAAAAGUAAAAUGGUCUUUCUUCCAGAGACUCGAGCAGGCAAAUACUGGAGUAAAACAGGGUUAAACAGCAUAGUUUUACUUACAGUAUCCUUGGGUCAUAAAAAGGCAUUUCUUAAAAGCAGUAUUAAUUGAUGCCACAUGGAAAACUGGGUAGCACAUACCACAGAAACAGAGAAUCCACUACCUAAAAAUGAUUUUCUCAGUCCUAGGACCUCACACAGGAAAAGGAACAGUCCAUGGGAGCAGUGUGUUGGACAAUGAGAUCCUUUUAAAAAGUCCCCUAAACCAUGGCUAUUUGUAUCAAAAAAUAACCCCCCAACCAUUCCAAAAGAUCUGCAGUUGAAGAAAUGAAAAAUGAUGCUGGAAUUGCACAAUGGUGCAUAUUGGUGACAUUAGAGAAGCUAUCUUUGGGGCCGCCUGUAUGGCUCAGUUGACAGAGAGUCUGACUUCAGCUCAGGUCAUGUUCUCACAGUUCGUGAGUUUGGGCUGCACAUCAGGCUCACAGUUGUCCACAAGGAGCCGACCUCGGAUCCUCUGUCACCCUUUGUCUCUGCCCCUUCCCUGCUCAUACUCUCUCUCAAAAAUAAACAAACAUUUAAAAAAAGAAAAGACAUCUUUGAGCGGAGUUUGAAGAUUACUUUGAAAAAUGUACAUUAACUAUCUCAUGUAGAUUUAGAUUCUAAAUUGUUCACUUAAUAGUCUAAAAUUCUUACCAUUUCAUGCCUACUCCGAAACAGAGAUUUAGUGUAUAAAAAUUAUGAUUUCAGGAUACUUUUCUGUCUUCUCUGCUUAAGAAAAUUGUUUACUACAGAACAUCUGCAAUAAUAUAAGCAGUAAAUGGGGGAACUAAAGUAGCAAGAAAGGUCCUAAAUGCUACAAGGAAUUUCAGAGAGCUACUAAUUCUAAGGAUAAUAGAGCUGUGUGUCCUAGAAAGACUUUUUCCUAGCCACUGAUGACUAAAAGUAAGAUUCUUAGAUACAGUCAAAGAGUGACAGAUAACACAAGUUCUUAGACAUUAACUACCCUCAGAAUGUUGGACUCCCCUCCCCCAUGCCAUCCUUCCCAUCCCACCCCAGCACGGGUGGCAGGUAAACAUUAAUAAAAUGGCCUUUUAACUUGGCUGUAGCUCUUCCUGAUAAUUGGGACUUAGACUCACAUGUCUGCUUCCUCUGAUUCUCCAUUCUUUGGUCUUGUAUUAGCAUGAACAAGAUCCCUAGCUCUGGAACUCUCAGAAUCUAAGCAUUAGUACUUGACAAGAAGUCAUUGCUAGGGUCCCUGUGAUUGGAGAAUCGGGUCUAAUGAGAGGUAUGAAAAUCAAGAAGAAGAAGAAUAGGUUCUGGAGAAGCAAGGAUAUCAGAAAACUACUUAGGACUAUGAAAUGUCCACGGAGGCAUGAACAGUGCUCUAUGUCCAGAGCAUUUAUAUAAAGAUACAGACUGCUAAUAAUGUGUUCUUAUGCAUGCAGAGUAUAAUGGGAAAAAAGACAGUGGGAGAAUUCUUUAGUGUUUCUAUAGAUGAGGCAACUGAACUUUUUUCAUGUCUCAAAAUAUUCUUUUCUUAGUUGCCUAAAAUGAUUUCAUCCAUGAGUUUGAGGAUAGGGUAGGUAAGAAUAAGUGAAUGAAAUAAAAAAUAAAAAUAACCAACGUGGAUUAGAAAGCAAUAAGUCACACAGGAAAAAUGUAUGUCUGAAGUUCUCAAGAUCCUCAAGUCUUGGAAAGAACCAUAAAAUCUCAUGUUAUAUACUGAAUAUGACUCUACAUAUGGACUGUGGAAUAAAAAGUAAAACGUAUAUAGAAUUUUACAGUCCACAAAUUUCACAUAGAGUGACUUGGCAAUUUCUCACAACAACUUUGUGAGAUGGAUCUCACUCCUGUGUUACCCAAGAAGAAACUUGUCAUGAAACUGAAAAGUGGCAGAGCUAUGGGUCAAAAGUAAGUCUGUGUGCCUUCGGAUCCAGUGCCCUUUCCUUUCCAUCUCUCAACAGUUACAAAUGCAACUACAGAACUUUAGUGCAUUGUCCAGAGUGAGGACAUAUUGCUCUGGACUCCGGAGACACUGCUGGAACUUUGGGACAACUUGGGGCUGAGACCAGCAGAAGGAAAAGGUUUCCUGUUCACAGUCCUGACAGCUGAGGAAGGGGCUGUCAUGAGCUUUCUACUAGACAUUUAAAAAAUAGAUUGUUUCCAUGGAGGAGGCCCGAGGAAGAUUUACAGACAGGGGAGAUAGGUAUACAGUUCUGCGACCUUCCAGUUGAAGUAUAACCAGUGUCUGACCAUGGAAGGCAGAUGCUCCCUUAUGUAUGAUUUUAACACUUGCCUUAUUGAUUCUUUUCCCAUGACAAUGAUGUAAUUGAAAAUGUAUUAAAAACUGAAGAGAUGUAGUUUAAAUAUUUAAUUUUUACCAAAGCCACUAAUGAUUUUAAUUUACUGUUUUUUAAACUUCUUUAAUUUUCAAGUUCAGAAAAUAUAUACAUAUGUGUUGUUAAAGUUUUACAUUCAUUUAGCAUACUUUCAAAUUUACAUUCGUUGGUUGUAAAAUGAGAACAAAACAUGUAGUAAUCAUGCUGUUUUAAAAACUGUCAGAAGUUCUCAGGGGAGUGUUCAAAUUGUGAGGGGAACUCUAGAAUUUAUUCUAUUUGCUCAAACUAUCUUACACUAUCAUUUGAGUGCAAUUCUGUAAUCUUUUUGCGUGAAGAUGCUAUUGAUUUCAGCAUAGUGUACUUCCUCAUUUAACAUUCCAUAUAUAAUUGAGUAAUGUUAUUAAAAAUAAAAUAAAAUGAAAUGUAGUUUCAGAGCCAGCCCUCAGGGACUUACAAUCGAGUUGAUAAUAAAAGACUGAGAAACAGAAGACAAUACUGGGCAACAUAUAAUUAUGCAUUAAAUGACAUGCCACAAACUGCAAAUAUUCAGGAGUAGAAACUAUCAGUAAAGUCUUAAAAGGCAGCUAGAGGGGAAUGGAACUGAGGAGAAAACAAGCUGCAGGAACUCAAGAGACUAUAAGGAGACUAUUUUGGCUCUGGCAGGAGGAUAAGUUAGUAAGCGGUGGGAAAUAAGUUAGAGUCGGUUGUAGGGAGCCUAGAAAA